rnacentral:tRNA from 1 species
UGUUAACUAAGGAUUUCAUGGGAUCAAGCCCCGUCGAUCUAG